UGGCAUUCAUACACACAUACACACAUACAUUGGCAUACAUACAUACACUGGCAUACACACACACUGGCAUACACACACUGGCAUACUCACACUGGCACACACACACACUGGCAUACACACUGGCAUACACACACACAAUGGCAUACACUGGCAUACACACACACACUGGCAUACACACAUACACUGGCAUACAUACAUACACUGGCAUACACAUACAUACACUGGCAUACACUGACAUACA